ACUUAUUUAAUAUAUUAGUAUAUUUAACUUCCAAUUAAAAAGAUUGACUUCAUCAAAAUAAGUA
rnacentral:tRNA from 1 species